rnacentral:rRNA from 1 species
AGUGAACGCUGGCGGCAGGCCUAACACAUGCAAGUCGAACGGCAGCACAGGGAGCUUGCUCCUGGGUGGCGAGUGGCGGACGGGUGAGGAAUACAUGGGAAUCUGCCCAAUCGUGGGGGAUAACGGAGGGAAACUUACGCUAAUACCGCAUACGACCUACGGGUGAAAGCGGCGGACCGCAAGGCGUCGCGCGACUGGAUGAGCCCAUGUCGGAUUAGCUAGUUGGCGGGGUAAAGGCCCACCAAGGCGACGAUCCGUAGCUGGGCUGAGAGGAUGAUCAGCCACACUGGAACUGAGACACAGUCCAGACUCCUACGGGAGGCAGCAGUGGGGAAUAUUGGACAAUGGGCGCAAGCCUGAUCCAGCCAUGCCGCGUGAGUGAAGAAGGCCCUCGGGUUGUAAAGCUCUUUUGUCCGGAAAGAAAAGCUUUCGGUUAAUACCCGGAAGUCCUGACGGUACCGGAAGAAUAAGCACCGGCUAACUUCGUGCCAGCCGCCGCAGUAACAC